GAUGAACGCUGGCGGCGUGCCUAAUACAUGCAAGUCGAGCGAACAGACGAGGAGCUUGCUCCUUUGACGUUAGCGGCGGACGGGUGAGUAACACGUGGGUAACCUACCUAUAAGACUGGGAUAACUUCGGGAAACCGGAGCUAAUACCGGAUAAUAUUUCGAACCGCAUGGUUCGAUAGUGAAAGAUGGCUCUGCUAUCACUUAUAGAUGGACCUGCGCCGUAUUAGCUAGUUGGUAAGGUAACGGCUUACCAAGGCAACGAUACGUAGCCGACCUGAGAGGGUGAUCGGCCACACUGGAACUGAGACACGGUCCAGACUCCUACGGGAGGCAGCAGUAGGGAAUCUUCCGCAAUGGGCGAAAGCCUGACGGAGCAACGCCGCGUGAGUGAUGAAGGUCUUCGGAUCGUAAAACUCUGUUAGUAGGGAAGAACAAACGUGUAAGUAACUGUGCACGUCUUGACGGUACCUAAUCAGAAAGCAACGGCUAACUACGUG
rnacentral:rRNA from 1 species